AACUUUUCAGGUGGCCUAGUGGUUAGAGCAUCUGUCUCAUAUGCAGGAGGUCAUGGCUUCAAACCCCAAAUGAGUCA